UCGACUUUUAAAAUCGUGAGGGUUCAAGUCCCUCUAUCCCCAACUUUAU
rnacentral:tRNA from 1 species